rnacentral:rRNA from 1 species
GUGGGGAAUAUUGGACAAUGGGGGGAACCCUGAUCCAGCCAUGCCGCGUGUGUGAAGAAGGCCUUUUGGUUGUAAAGCACUUUAAGCGAGGAGGAGGCUACCGAGAUUAAUACUCUUGGAUAGUUGACGUUACUCGCAGAAUAAGCACCGGCUAACUCUGUGCCAGCAGCCGCGGUAAUACAGAGGGUGCAAGCGUUAAUCGGAUUUACUGGGCGUAAAGCGCGCGUAGGUGGCUAAUUAAGUCAAAUGUGAAAUCCCCGAGCUUAACUUGGGAAUUGCAUUCGAUACUGGUUGGCUAGAGUAUGGGAGAGGAUGGUAGAAUUCCAGGUGUAGCGGUGAAAUGCGUAGAGAUCUGGAGGAAUACCGAUGGCGAAGGCAGCCAUCUGGCCUAAUACUGACACUGAGGUGCGAAAGCAUGGGGAGCAAACAGGAUUAGAUACCCGGGUAGUCC